rnacentral:rRNA from 1 species
GAUGAACGCUGGCGGCGUGCCUAAUACAUGCAAGUCGAGCGAACGGACGAGAAGCUUGCUUCUCUGAUGUUAGCGGCUGACGGGUGAGUAACACGUGGAUAACCUACCUAUAAGACUUGGAUAACUUCGGGAAACCGGAGCUAAUACCGGAUAAUAUUUUGAACCGCAUGGUUCAAAAGUGAAAGACGGUCUUGCUGUCACUUAUAGAUGGAUCCGCGCUGCAUUCGCUAGUUGCUAAGGUAACGGCUUACCAAGGCAACGAUGCAUAGCCGACGUGAGAAGGUGAACGGCCAAAGUGGAACUGCGACACGGUCCAGACUACUAGGGGAGGAAGCAGUAGGGAAUUUGCGGCAAUGGGCGAACGCCUGACGGAGCAACGCCGAGUGAGUGAUGAAGGUAUUCGGAUCGUAAAGCUCUGUUAUUAGGUAAGAACAUAUGUAUAAGUAAGUGUGCACAUCUUGACGGUACCUAAUCAGAAAGCCACGGCUAACUACGUG